AAAGACCAAAUGGAAUUUUACUUUCUGGCCUCAGCUUGGCCUCCGAGUCCCUGCUCUGGUCCCUACUGGCCGCCUUGCUGCUCCUCAAACAUGCCUAUUUUGUUCCCGCCUCAGGACCUUUGCACUUGCCGUUCUCUGGGACUGGUGCACACUUCAGCCCUAUAACCAUAAAGUCCACUCCCUCGUUUUUUUCUGGUUUCUAUUAAAUGUCUCUUUCCGAACCACCCUGUCUAAAGUAGCUCCACCCUCACCCAGCUUCUAGUCUUAAGGGCCCUUAUCAAUCCACGUGGUAUUGGGUCCCACUAGAAUGCCGUGCCAUGAGGACAGGGACUUUAAACGCCUUAUCCCCUGCUGUGUCACCCACGGUCCAAAACAGUGCAGGGCAUACACUAAGUACUGGUGGGUGAAUGUCUGAUUCCCAGAUCUUCAUGGGUUUGGGAAUCACCAGUGUUACUGUCUUUAUACUCCAAAGAGCCAGAAAAGCCAUGGUCAAGGCGGGGUGGGGUUUCAUUCACACCCAGCCUGGUUCCCAAUGCCUUUUAUGUCUUGGGCGGGGCGGUCUCCCAGCUGCCAGACACCCUGGACAAUGGGGUGUUGUCCAGAACGUAAGUCCAGCUUAUUAAAACAAAGUGGGGUGGGGUGGGGGUGGAGAAUGGGCAAAUUUAACACAUAUGUCCAGCAUAACAAAUAGGGUGCCAAGCUGGUGGAGACCCCUGUAGCUGGGGUCUGGGGACAGAACUGCAGCUCAACCCCCUGGCUGGGGUGUGUGCUGCCAGUUUUGAUGGGGAGGAGGGGAGGCAGUGCUGGGAACCGGGUGCUAGAGCCAAGAGAGCUACCCAGGGCAAAGCAAACCGAAACCCAGACCCACAUGGUCUGACCCCCGACGCUAGGGAGGUGCUGGAGGAGGCCUGGCCCUGCAGCCACCAGCCUCUGCCUGGGCAUCUGCAACCACGGGCUCCUAGAGGCAGGACAGCCUUCCGUCCCCUUCAGGAGGUUGGGAGGGCCAGGCUUUGCCUAUAUCUGCACCUGAAAAGCAUUCUCUAUUAGUCCUCAGCCAGCAGGGUGUUGUUAAAGGCCAGAUUAGGGAAACCUGACAGGAGUUAACCGGGAGGUCGGGAGUCCUGCCUGCCACUCAGUAACAUGGGGGGUAGGUGGGCGGGGCCCCACCGCAGGGCCUAGGGCUUAGAAGAGGUUGCCCAUGGCAACCAUUUCCUCUUGUUUUAUUAAAAGCAGCAUCUCAGAACGCCAUAGGGUCACAGGCAUUUUUUGUUUUUUAAUUAGAAAAAGAAAAACCCCACACAGGUAGUUAAUUCGCUCCACAGCCCAAACUGGGAGACUAUAAUGAGGUCUAAGGGUAGAGACUGCAGCCAGACCCCUGGGUUCUGUUCCAGCGAGGCUACUCGCCAGCUAGGUGACCUGGGCUAACAGAGCGCCUCUGUGCCUCAGCCUCCCCCUCUGGAAAACGGGAGUAAUAAGAUGCAUCCUUCAUUGGAAUAUGGUGAAAAUUAAAUGAGUGGAUGCACAUGAAGGGUUUAGGACAGUCCCUGGCUUGCCUAAGGGCUACCUAAACAGAUACCGUUACCUCUGCAGAAAUCGCCCCAGGUUUGGCCUUCAAGCCAAACUAAAAGAGCAGGGACAGCACGGUUCCAUCCCUGGCAUCUGGUUAGCAAGGAAAGAAAAGGAACUAAAAUCAGCUGGAACAGUCAAGCCAAGUAAGUCGGGCACACUGGCUGGCCUAGCAGGCAGAGAAAGCAUCCAGGAAACCCUCGUUAAGGAGGAUUCUGGGUCAUCCAAGCAACUAAGAGGAAGACCGGUUCCAUGUCCCUCUUCUCUGAGCCCCGCUGAGUGAGGCACCGCAGGGAUUUAUUCCAAGACACCCUCCAUGCCACAGCACCAAUCUGAGACUGGUGGGAUGGCUGGCCCGUUCCAACAACAGGACCGAUGUAAAUGCAAACAGCCUCAGUCACUUCUAUGCACCCCCUGGAAACCCUCAAAGCCCCAUCCUACCACCAGCCCCCAAAAGGAGAGACCAACAUGCAAAUUCACUGCAUGAUUCUGGUCGAAGACAGCAGUUCCCAAACUUGCCUGCACAUUAGAAAUGGGGACGUUUUAAAACUCCUGACGCCCAGGUUGCAGCCCGUACCAGGUAAAUGAGAAUGUCUGCGGGUGUGAGGCGGGCGUGGGUAUUUUUUAAAGACCUCAGAUACUCUAGUGCCAAGUCAAGUUUGGGACCCACUGGACCAAGGAGCAAAGGAGGCACCAAUGAAAUUCCUGUCAGUAUCUUGAGGCGAGGGAACCUUUCCUUUCUGAUUUUCAGCUGGGGGAGGCAUUUCUUGCCCAGUGAGGUGCCAGGUGACAUAGUGGUUUGGAUGCGUGCACGGGGCAGAAAAGUUCAGCGUCCAGAAGGCAGAUGCCACUGGGGUUGUUAGCAACCUCCGGAGUUCAGCUUGUCAUUCCCUCCAGUCCAGAAGGAACCGGAUUCCCCCCACCCCUUGCUCCUGCCUGCUGGGGUGUGUGUGGGGGGGAGCACCCAGUCUCAGUUCGGCCACCAGUCCACCGGAAAACCCCCCUAAGUCUGGCAGGAGACAAACUCUUGAGCCUCCUAACGUGGGGUUCCAGCCUUCCCCAGGCACCGCCUCAUCUCCACGUCAACAUCCCUCACCACCCUGGGAAGGGAGCGUUCCUGUCUGGGUUUGGUUUUUAAAAAAAAUAUAUGAAGAAAAAAAAAGAAAGGCUUUCACGUUGGGGUUGGGGUGGGCGGAUUGUAAACAGGGACCCGGGUCAGAAGCAGCGGGAAGGACCUGGGUCCCAAGGUCUGCGCAGCGUGGGCGUGGGGUUCAAGCCCACUUAGCCAGGGGCCAACUUCCCUGGGAAUCUGGGCAGUCCUUCACCCCUGCCCGUUCCCGGCUGACAGUCAGCCCCAGUCACUCAGUGCGAGGCCCACGGCAGGGAGGCCGUCUGCAGGUCUGGGGCAGGCUGCCCCAUCACCCCUGCACCCUGGCCCCUGCCUGGGAGCGUGGCUGUCCCUGGGCCACCUUCUAGGCUGGAGGGGUGUGUUUGUGUGUGGCGGGGGGACCCAGUCCUGGCUUCUGAGGCACCGCGUUUGGGGCGCACCAGGAAGAACAUGGGAAGCCUGCUGCCCUAGCAGAAUUAACUCGAGGUUUGAAUGUCUGGAACAUUCCGGAGAAAAAAACAGAACUGACUCCGUUUGCCUCAAUUCUCAGGCACGACAGACUUUCCUCGGCCCUCAGGCCACUUGACCUGAAAUGGGACAUGCUGAGCAAGACCUCUGCAAUCGCCACUUCCCACCUCAGGGACUUCAAGAAGUGACGACUUGACUUGCGAGAAAGAGGUCCGUGGAACUUAGGUGGCCAGCUGACAUUGGAGCCCGUGCUGAUAGGAGCCAAAGUGUUCCUGGGAGGUUCCCAGCGUGCCGUUGACCUUGACUUCGGCCAUCCCCCGUGUUUCCUAUUCCUGUUUUUCUAGGCCUACUUAGCUAUUCAUGGGGAAAAUAUCACAGUGGGUAGGAAGUUUUUGCUCAAAAGCCAAACAAAGAGAAGAAAAACAAGAGCAAAGGGAGAAAAGGUUAAAAGAAAAAAAAAUGACUGAGAAAUACCAAAUGCUCUUGUUAAACCAAUAAUUUCCCAGGGUUUCUUAACAGACGAGGAAACUUGAUAGCUGCAAAAAGAGUCCAGCUGAAGAAAAUACCCGGUUUCAGAUGGACUUUCUGGACCCGCAAUGCGUCUCCUGGCACCUGCCGGUGUCGAGGGCCCGGUAAAGACGCUGCUUGGAAGCCAGCUGGACAGGCUGCUGGACAUCUGGAAUCUUCUUAGAACCUCUCCUCCCGCCCGGGCUCCGGAAGUGGCUUUUUUUUUUUUUUU